rnacentral:rRNA from 12 species
GCCAAUGGGGGUGCAGAUGUAAGCCUCUUGGAAAAGAGCACUAAUGAGGGUGACAGUCCUGUUUGCCAUCUGUCGUCUUCCAUGCACGGCGUGCUUUCUACGAGUCACGUUCCUUGGGCUUGGAGCGCCAAUGUGGUGGUAAUUUUCACCCCAAGCUAAAUACAUGUUCAGGACCGACAGCAAACAAGUACC